UUGGAGCCCAUAGAAAAUCAUGAAGUCCUUACUCAUGCGGCCCAAAGUUGUGUUAGUUGUUUUGACGUUUCAAAUUUAAAAAAAUUGUGCUUAUUCUCGUUUAAUCAAAUCGGGAAGAAGCGUAAGCACAGAGAAAACGGAGGCGGCGAAGAAUGGGGAGAAGGAAGAAACCGCGCCGGAGCGGCCUAAGAGAACGCUUUAAGGAUUCAAAGCCAUUUCUAAAGAUAAAAGGAAGAAUUGAUACUCAUCGUUUUCGGAAUAAAGAGAAAGUCUUGGUUACUUACUUGCUCCCGUCACAUUAGUUUCAGGUAUCGGCAUUUGAUGUUGAACUUUGGUUGGUUUGUUUCCACAUUGUAAGAAAGAUAACAAGGUUGAGUCGAAGGAGAGCAAAGGCACGGCGCUGAAUGAGCUUGUCAAGCUCAGGAGCUGCUCCUCUUGUUUGUUUGUUUUUUGUGUUAGUCCAAGUUUCUCAACUUCUUUUGAACUAGUGUUGAUAGAAAUGUAAGCCGUAAUUUAGCUGCAAUGCUUAUCCGUGCUCUCUAGAUAUUCGGAUUUCAAGGUGACCUAAUUAUAUUUGAAGUUUACACAACACAGGAAUUGAAGCUUAUUGAAAAUCAUCUGAAGGGUUAGCAUCCUCUUGUGACCUUUUCGUUUAACUGUGAUGAAAAACCCUCAUUGGAAGCUUUGAAAGGAGUUGAUUUCUCAGGUAUGGCUGCCUGUAUGCAUGUGAAUGUAGAAUUGGACAAGGAACAAGAAAAAUGGCUUGAAAGCUUGUUUUAAUGUAUGCCCAAAGCUACCUUUAUUGAUAUUUUCAGAUUGUAUCAGAAUAGUAAAAUGCUAGAAAAUAGUUCCUUUGUACAGUGUGUGGAAUGGGAAAUAGCACAAUUGGCUCUAGCUGAAAAUGUGAUAACACUUUGUUGAGUCUAGUGCACGUGCUAUCCUUUAGGAUGAAUCAAAGGAGUUAUCACAUGAAGGUUAAAGUCAUGUCUAGAAGAAUUCAGAAACGAAUAGGAAAAAAAAAUGGCAAGAAAUGGAAGGGUAUCAUAUUCGGUUUAUAUGUAUUGUAUCUGAAUCAAUCUUGUGUAUCUCCACUUUGACCUUUUGUUCUUUCAACAAACCAGUUUACCCUCUCAUUCUCAUAUAUGAAAUAUGUAUGUUUUAACACUCUUUGUAGUACCACAAUUUUCCUCAUUCCCCGUAAUGUCAUAUUGCAAAUCUUGCUAUUCUAUGUGUUGAUUGGUUGUCAUGAGUUUCUUACCGUCAUUAUAUAUUGAUUUAUGGUUUCAAAUUAUAUGCUUCUUUCUUUCCAUUAUUUAUAUUUUUGGCACACCAAAGGAUCACAGGAAAUCUAAAUUAUACCAUGACCAUGUAUUUCUCUUCUCAAUUACCGGUGACUACAUAUGGUUCCAGAAUGACCAGGUUCUUGGUGUCGUUUAAAUAAAUUAUUGGGUUCUUAUAUGUUAUAACAUCAAAAUGUUAAGCUUAAAGCAAUGAAGCACCCAACUGUUAUAGCUCAUAAUUGAUGACUCUUAUGAUGUUCAAUUACGAUAUGAUUUUGGUUAAUAAUUCUAGGUAUGUUUCAGGAUUAGAAUGUAUUGUGGAGUUUUUGCAUAAACUGGAUGCUCACUAAAUUAUCUGUAUACCAACUAUAAGUUUAGCACACUAUGGAUGUGAAUAGGGUCACUUUCUUUGUGUGGAUCAGAGUGAGGGGAGCGGUGGUGAUAGAGAGUUGAAAGGGGGCAAAGAUUGUCUACUACGGAUACCAACAUUAUGAUGUUUCUAAAGAGGCUAGCUGAGAAUAGGCAUCUUUCUAUCGUCUCUGGGUGCUUGGUAUCUUAGGUUAUUAGUUAUUUUUUUAAGGAGAAUUUAUGUGGGCAUCUUCAUUAUUCAGAAGUAUCAUGCAGCAAUUCUGGUACAACACAAAAAUUAGACCGUGGACAUGAGAGUCCAUUCUAUGUGUCAAUAGACAAACAAUGUUAGUUCUUCUGUUAUUUUAUCAUGGUUUUUGCCUUACAGUUUCAAAUUUAAGAUGAUUUUCCCUUUCCUUGCGCUGCUGAAAGUUAAAAAAUUGAUUGUUUGACAUAGAUCAUAAAUUUUUUAAUGAAUUUUUUCGUGUUUUAUGUUUUUUCUAUAGUAUAAUUCUUCAUAUCAAGAUUAUUCUCUAUCAAUUUAACCAGUUUACAUUGAUGUUUAUCACAAUAAGCUUAAUAUUUGCACCUAUUUAUAAGAAUCGUGCCACUGUAUAUUCGCUCUAUGGAGAAAGGCAGAAGGCUGGGAAAUAAGCAAAGAAGGUUAGUUAAAGCCAAGACCAGGAAGAAGAUGCAUGAGUUGGAAAAUCCCCUCAAAGUGAUGAGUUCGCUGAUAUGUAAAAAGAGUGACGACCUAACUACGGUAAGAUCUCUUUUACUGCAGAUUUAGUUGACUCCAUGCAACGCCUUGAGAGGAGGAAGGGUGAUUGUUUUUUUUUUUUUUUUUGCAUAUGGUAAAAUUAUUUAGGUGUUCAGAUUUGUACUGGAUUCAGAAAUCUUGUGGUCACUGUGAAUUCCAUGAGCUUAGUUGCUUAUUAGUCUCUUGCAAUACACAUACAUAGAUUGUUAGGUCUAAA